AGCAAUGAGACACUCAACGAUUCAUCAGGUGGAAGGCAUCAAUAGAAACUAUGGCCGAUAUGGGACAAUUCUUCCUGUUGGAACAUGCAGUGGAACAGCGUAAAGAAUGUAGCAGAUUGUUUCUGAGACCAAGAAUUCAGAUACAAAACAAUGUAAAUAGCAGGUGCAUAGAAAAAAAAUCGAUGUUGGACCACUGAGUGAGAUGUUGGACCACUCGGAGAAAUGUUGGACCGCUUACGUUACAGAAUGGACAGAGCUUAAUCUCAUUUUCAUUCGUUGAUGUUAAACAGUGACAGACUUGAUGUUACAUCAUGGAAUGCAGCACAAAAUACAUGAAAAUGUUGAAUCCAGUCAAGAAACACCAACGGAUAGCCAAGAAAGCCAAGAUUCAGAGGCAUCAAUUUCUGAAAAAGAACUACCAGAAGGAGACGGUAAAGAGGAACGGACAUAUCACACCAUAAGACGUGCUUCAAAAUCUGAAUAUACAGAGUGAAUUUUACUUACUGCAAAUCCUUGUGAAAGAACACCUUUGUUGUAUUGACAUAAAAACAACGGAAUUGUCAGGAUCCUUGAACAUGACGCAACUGGCUGCAUACGAUGGCAAUUAGAAAUGCAUACAUGUUUACAUUGAUCUUUGUUAGCGAAUAAGACAAAAAGCAAAAUAGCAAGUUUAUCCUAUUACCGUACAUGUACUGAAUGUAUUCACUUUAUUUUGUUGAACUACAUCAUGAGUUAAAAAAUUGUACAAUAUCACAUACAGUUUAUGGUGGGAUUCCUCUAACUUUUAUGAAUCUGUUUGCAAAAUCUAUACUUUAAAGUUACAAUUUAUUACCUCUAAAACAUUGUAUGUUUUUUUUGUAAAUUAUUACACUGUUUUUGUAUGUAUGUAAUGAUAACCAAAUCACCCAAUUUUCCCGCACUUUUUACCAUGUAUUUAGCAUUUUUUUACCAUGCUUAAGUGUAUUAAUAUUUUACAACUGAUGACCAGGCAGUCUUCAUUUAACAGUGUAAUACAUAACACAUUUUUAUCUGAAUAUUUUUAAAACAAGGAUAACAUGCCGUGGAUUGAUUCUGUGUUCAAAACUUCAUAAUCACUGGGUUUUCUUAUUUAUGUUGUACACGUAUUUGGAAUAAAAAAGGAAUUGUUAAAAGAAAAGUGAAAUUAAUCAUUCUAUUGUUGUCAAAGAAAGAUAAUAAAACCAGUUUACUUAUGCACAGAAUUGGUCAACACAUAUUGUCAUUGAUAAUUCAUCCAAGAAUCAUAUGUAUAAUAAAUCUACAAAGUCAAUUUGAGUGAUAUCAAAGAAAGUUCUUUAUCUUUUUUAAUAUAAGUGCAAAAAGGUCAAGCAGGGCAACAUGUGCCCAGGUGUACAUGUAUAAAUUGUUUUCUGUGAUAUAGAAUGUAAUUUAGAAGAAUAUUACUUGGAAUUUUACUCGUUUUCUUUGAAAUAUUUUGAUUAAUUCUAUCUAUCAAAGUCGAUUUGAACGAUAUAAGGAAAACUUCUUUUCUUUUUAGCUCUUCUGAGCCAAAGGCUCAAAGAGCUAAUGCUAUGGCCAUUUGUGCGGUGUGCGUAAACUUUUUAGAAUAUGGGCCAUAACUCAAGAACCCCUUGGCCAAUCAGUACCAAAUUUGUCACAGGGUAUCCUUGGCCCAAGGGCUACCAUUUAUACUAAAAUAAGGGUUGGGACCCUUAAACAAGGGGAGAUAAUCAGGAAAACAAAACCAAAAGUACUGGUUGCUAAAAAAUCUUCUCCAUAACCACCAGGCAGAUUUUCACCAAACUUACAUACAAUUAUCAGGAUAUGUCGAAGAUUAAAAUUUGCACGGGGAAUUACCCUGGGGCAAAGGGCGUGGUCUCAAGGUCACAUCAAAGUUGACCUAAAUUUACAAUUAAUAAAAACGUGUAUAUUUUGCUUAUUGCAAGGACUAGGAUCAUCAAUUCUUGUAAGUUGAUGCAUCUUACGACUUCACAUCAUGUUAACUCAAAAGUAGGUCACGAUGACCUACUUUUUAAAUUUUGCGGGGAUUUGUUUUCAAAUUGAUUUGAAGGCAUAUUUUGGACACUUUAAGGCUUAUGAUCAUCAAACUUUGUCAGUUGAUGCAUCUUGGGUCCUCAAACAAUGUCAACUUAAAAGUAGGUCACCGUGACCUACUUUUUGAACUUUAUGACUUAUCCUUUUAAAAACAUUAAAUCUCAUUAUUUCAGACACUGAGAGGUUUAGAAUCAUCAAAUCUUGUACUUUGAUGCAUCUUGGGGUCUUGAAACAUAUUUAUGAAAAAGUAGGUCACUGUGACCUACUUUUUGAAUU